CGCUGUUCCUCUAGGGACGAGACUCCCAACCACAGGCGACUCCCGCAGAAAACCCGCCGAUCCAGGGGCGCAUCGGCCCAUCCCCCACGCGCAGAGACGCGCACGCGCACGCACGCACAGGGACUGCGGGUGCUCUUGGGGGCGCGGGGUUGCCCGGAUCUGCGCCCAGCGCAGGACCGCCGCCCUGGAAGAGGUCUUCGGACCCUGGAAGCCCGCGCCUGCCUCAGGGACAGCCUCUUGGGCGAAGCACAAAGCCCACCCCUGCCCCGCGCCUGCCCACGCCCAUUUAACGAGGUCAUUUAUAACAAACUCCC
ensembl:lncRNA